UACGUAGGGUGCAAGCGUUAAUCGGAAUUACUGGGCGUAAAGCGUGCGCAGGCGGUUUUGUAAGUCUGUCGUGAAAUCCCCGGGCUCAACCUGGGAAUUGCGAUGGAGACUGCAAGGCUAGAAUCUGGCAGAGGGGGGUAGAAUUCCGCGUGUAGCAGUGAAAUGCGUAGAGAUGUGGAGGAACACCGAUGGCGAAGGCAGCCCCCUGGGUCAAGAUUGACGCUCAUGCACGAAAGCGUGGGGAGCAAACAGG
rnacentral:rRNA from 1 species